UCAAACCAAAGCCGGUCCACCGCCGGUCCAAUCUGUCCAGAUUGGUGGGCGGACGUACUCCCAUCAAGCCCACAUCGCCCAAAGCCCCACCUCCACUCUCCUCUCGCCGGCGGCGCAUGGCGGCCUCACCGAGGCCUCUCCUGCUCCAGCGCUACCGUGACCUCCACGUCAGCACUCCUUCCCUCCUCCCCAUCCCCCUCCACCUCCGCCGCCUCAGGCGGCCCCUCCGUCCCCGCUCACUAUCCAUCGCCGCCUGCCUCGCCUCCGGCUUCGACGGCGGUGGCGUCGCCGACGACAUCUAUCUCCACUACCCCGGCUGCCGCAAGGGCGAGUUCUCCGCUCUCGCCAGCGUCCUCCGCCGGAUCGAGCCCCUUGACACCUCCGUCAUCGGGAAGGGCGUCUCCGCCGCCGCCCGGGACUCCAUGAAGCGGACUAUCUCCACUAUGCUCGGCCUCCUCCCCUCCGAUCAGUUCGAUGUCUCGGUUAGGGUUUCCAACCGGCCGCUCCGCCACCUGCUCGUCUCUUCCAUAGUCACCGGGUACACGCUGUGGAACGCAGAGUACAGGGUGUCGCUAAUGCGGAAGUUUGAGAACUCUCCUGGGAGUGAGCAGGUGGCGAAGGUUGCUUCGGGGGAGAGUGAGGUGGUUGGGGAGGAAGGGAGUUGGACGGAGGAGUGGGAGGGUGUUGGUUGUAGUGUGGAAGUGAUGGAUGGUGAGAGUCUUGGGGAAUUAUCGGAGGCAGCUUCGAGCUAUAUACAGGAGCUCGAGGAAGAAUUGGCGGCUGCUGAGAAGGAGUUAGAUGACCAGAAACAUGAAUAUGUCCACCUGGAACAUAACAAAGAAGAGGACAAUGAUCUUUUGAAGUACUUGAGAUCUCUUGAACCUGCUAUGGUAUCUGAAUUAUCUCAACCUUCGUCACCUGAGGUUGAGGAAAUCAUUCAACAGCUUGUUCAAGGCAUACAUAUAAGAUACUUCAAUGAUGCCUCCCCUAACUUCUUACAAGAUAUGGACAACGGAGAAUCUGUUGGAUGUGAAAAAGAUGUUAACGUUCAUGAUGAUGGUACUAUAGUUACUACUCGGGAUUAUCUUGCGAAGUUACUCUUCUGGUGCAUGCUUUUGGGUCAUCAUUUGAGAGGUUUGGAGCACAGGUUGCAUCUUAGCUGUGUCGGGUUACUGUAAAGAAAUAAAGUAGCAAGGGGGUGGAGGUGUAUAUAUGGUUCUUCAUCAGCAUGAAUAAUCAUAUUAGUGGACUUUAUAUAUAUUUUUUAAUAUUUUCCUGAAAGUCGGUAGA
rnacentral:misc_RNA from 1 species